AAAGGCCUAGCAAGGCGACGAUCCAUAGCUGGUCUGAGAGGAUGAUCAGCCGCAUUGGCACUGAGACACGGCCCAAACUCCUACGGGAGGCAGCAGUGGGGAAUAUUGGUACAAUGGGCGCAAGCCUGAUCCAGCCAUGCCGCGUGAGUGAUAAAGGCCUUA
rnacentral:rRNA from 1 species